rnacentral:misc_RNA from 1 species
GAUGAAGAACGCAGCGAAAUGCGAUAAGUAAUGCGAAUUGCAGAAUUCAGUGAGUCAUCGAAUCUUUGAACGCACAUUGCGCCCUGUGGUAUUCCGCAGGGCAUGCCUGUUCGAGCGCCAUUUCAACCCUCAAGCUCUGCUUGGUGUUGGGCCCUGCCCGCUGCGGCCGGCCCUAAAGACAGUGGCGGUGCCGCCUGGCCCUGAGCGUAGUACAUCUCUCGCUCCAGUGCCCGGUGGUAGCCUGCCAGAACCCCAACUCUCGUGGUUGACCUCGGAUCAGGUAGGGAUACCCGCUGAACUUAAGCAUAUCAAUAAGCGGAGGA